UACCAGCACCCCGAGUGGUCGGGACGUUUAUUGGGCCUAAAGCAUCCGUAGCCGGUUCUACAAGUCUUCCGUUAAAUCCAUCUGCUCAACAGAUGGGCUGCGGAAGAUACUAUGGAGCUAGGAGGCGGGAGAGGCAAGCGGUACUCGAUGGGUAGGGGUAAAAUCCGUUGAUCCAUUGAAGACCACCAGUGGCGAAGGCGGCUUGCCAGAACGCGCUCGACGGUGAGGGAUGAAAGCUGGGGGAGCAAACCGG
rnacentral:rRNA from 1 species